CUCCGUGUCAGGCGAACGUUGGGGGGAGGGGCGGGGUACUUUUUGCCGCUAAUGUUAGAUGGCCUACACAGCUUAUCUUUAGCAAAGCCACAGUCAAGUACGAAACCUUACUGAUUAAAACAACUAUUACAAAUACAAUACAAAUACAGUCUGUCGAUAAUGGAAGUGAGUGACUCAGUUUUCGUCGGUCUCCAAGUAGUUGUUUUAAAUAGUAAAAUUAGCCUAUUUAACCCAAAUUUAUGUUUUAAAAUGAUUGGGUCAGCUCUACGGUUGAUAAGCUAAAAGCAACUUGCUCAGCUGGUCCUGAUGGUCCCCCUGCCUAUAUUAUUAAGGGUUGUAAGGAUAUUCUAGAACUUGCUGUUGGCUUUCCCCAUUGAUGGAACGACGACUUUCGAUUCGCAGGCACAGGUUGUAGGCUGUGGAAUGAUCUUCCAGCUACAGUCCGGGCCAUUGAUGGGCGUGAUCUCUUCGAGGCGGAGGUCAGACGGCUUUUGUUGGUGUAAGUUGGCUGGCAUUUGCAGCUUUAGUGGUGGGCUGUGUGAAUGUUUAUAAUACCUCUAUAAAUUUCAAUUCU
rnacentral:misc_RNA from 1 species